AAGAGAGACAGGAACCGGACAUGUGCUGACAACACUAGUUGGGCUUGUUCCAUGGAAGAAGAAGCCCAUCAACCCCUUCCCCAUGAAUGAAUUGUCCAUGGGAAAGAAGAAGAAAACAAAGAGACAGUGGCAUUUGUACUUGGUGGUGUAGAUGAGUGAAAUGACAAUUAGAAGGGUACCUCAGUUUAUGAACUUUCCAACUGUGUAAAGCGACAUACAGCAUUCAGACUAUUCCCAGUUUCCACUUUUCAGUAAUAAGUCCACUGCUCUACUCACACCUCCAAUAUUUCUCAUUCUCAACAUAUAUGUCUUUCCUGCAUAACUUCAAAUUCACCUUCAAUGCUGUUACUAUUUGCUCUAUGUUUGAGUUAUUGUAAUAUAUUACGUAUAAUAUAAG
rnacentral:lncRNA from 1 species